rnacentral:rRNA from 1 species
UCUUCCAGUAUGGGGAGCAAAACAGCUAUGGGUCAAGUCCGAUAUCUUUAGGAGAAGUCUUAUUGUGAGGGCGAGUUAUAUAACACCAUAGGACUGGCCGUCCCAUAUGAAAAGAUUAUAUUAGAAUUGAAUGAAGCUUUGUUUAUAUAUUGAUAAUGACAGUAUAUAUAUCGUGUCUUGACUAAUUGCGUGCCAGCAGUCGCGGUAAUACGUAAGAGACUAGUGUUAUUCAUCUUAAUUAGGUUUAAAGGGUACCCAGACGGUCAAUAUAGCUUAUAAAAUGUUAGUACUUGACUAGAGUUUUAUGUAAGAGGGCAGUACUUGAGGAGGAGAGAUGAAAUUUCGUGAUACCAAAGGGACUCUGUAAAGGCGAAGGCAGCCCUCUAUGUAAAAACUGACGUUGAAGGACGAAGGCACAGAGAACAAACAGGAUUAGAUACCCAAGUAGUCUUUGCAGUAAAUGAUGAAUGCCAUAGGUUAGAUUGAUCAAUUAUAGUCUAGGGUUAGUCUAGCAAACUAAUGCCCUAUGAUAUAAUUCAAUAUCUGGUCUAUAAAUGAAAGUGUAAGCAUUUCACCUCAAGAGUAAUGUGGCAACGCAGGAACUGAAAUCACUAGACCGUUUCUGACACCAGUAGUGAAG